rnacentral:rRNA from 1 species
AGAGAGAGACAUGCGCGCAUAUCAAUAAGCGGAGGAAAAGAAACUAACAAGGAUUCCCUUAGUAACGGCGAGUGAAGCGGGAAGAGCUCAAAUUUGAAAUCUUCAAGGUUUUACCUUGACGAAUUGUAGUUUAAAGAAGUGUUUUCUGCUGAAGUUUUGGUAAAAGUUCUUUGGAAUAGGACAUCAUAGAGGGUGAGAAUCCCGUAUUUGACCAUUAUUUUCAGCUUUGUGAUACACUUUCAAAGAGUCGGAUUGUUUGGGAAUGCAGUCCAAAAUGGGUGGUAAAUUUCAUCUAAAGCUAAAUAUUGGCGAGAGACCGAUAGCGAACAAGUACCGUUAGGGAAAGAUGAAAAGAACUUUGAAAAGAGAGUUAAACAGUACGUGAAAUUGUCAAAAGGGAAGCGUUUGACACCAGUGUUGUUUUCUCGAAAAUCAAUUAAAAAUGGCUCGAUUUUGUAUUGCUUGAGACCUUAAAAGCUCACUGUACAUUUUCCGUGUCUUUUUUAAUGCACUUUUCGUUUAACAAGUCAACAUCAGUUUCUUUUGUUGUAAAAGGGUCAUUGGAGGGUGGCUUUCUUUUCGGAGAAAGUGUUUAUAGCCUUUGGCCUCUGCAAUCGAAGAGACUGAGGUCUGCAGCGUAGACUCUUCGGGGUUAGAUACAUUUGUGCUAAGUUAUAGCUUUUUCAUAGACAACUUGUUGACUAUAGUUAGUCUUGUAGCUUACUCGCUUAUGCUAUUUUACCUACGCUUAGGAUGUUGAGUCGUAGAGCACGCAG